ensembl:lncRNA
CUGCUCUUUACUCAUGAAGACACACAUGAGAAUGGUGAAAAAAGAGAAAGGAAAAGCAAUUGCUUGUGGAUAUGAAACACGACUGUGAAAACUAGUUUUAUUUUAAGCACUUGGAGAACAUUACAACGUGAGUCAAAGCCAUUUCCUACUACCUGUAGAGCAUAGGUUUGCAGCAAGCAUAAAGAAGCAAAUGCAAAAGGAGUGAAAAUGAGAGCAGCAUGGGUCUGCUGCGUGCUGCCAUCGUGGCAAAGGUCCGCCUGGGGCAGCUAAUGAGGCUGGAAAAAGAGCUUUGGAUGUUCCACACUUAAUCUCCAUCAAAACUAGGUUUAAGGUCCUGUUUUCAUUUCGAAGGCUUCUGGCAGAGGUGGAGCUGAUGAAGCCACUGGAUUUUUUCUAUCUAGCGGAGACGUGAGGGAAGUGACUGAAGUGCUUCCAGGUGUUUUGACUUUAGGAGAGUCUUCAGCUCACUGGUGGUUUGUGCUCCAGGUUCAGGGUUCGCCCACAGUUGCUGCCCUCCCGGGCUGCUCGGUGGCUGCUGAGUCUGUUGGCAGCCUGCAGAACCCCCGUGAGAGCCGAAAGAGCCUGGCCGUCCCACAGAGACAGUUGGAUCAGUGUAACCACUCCAGGCUUUGGUGCCAAAGUGCACGACAGCUCCAGGAAUGACCUCUGAAGAGGUAGUUUCGACCUCUGGUUUAUCUGUAAUUGCGCUGGAAAAUGAGCCUGAUGUGCUGACCUCUCAUUUUCACAUCCCCAGCUGUGAGUUUGUGAGGCAGGCUGUGUGUGUCUCAGUAUUAAAUAAUGAGAUGGAGUAACACAGGCGAUCAUCAUACGGUGUUCACACGUCUGCAAUGCACGGAGUCAGAGACGGGUCCAACAAAGUGCUUCAGAAAAGGCCUCGCCUUUGGAUUUUUGUGGAGAUGUUGAUCUACAGAAAAGUUUCUAUCUCCAUGCAGAUAUUUGCAGCUCUCCCCACCCAGCUGUGCCAUCUCUCAACCUCGACCUUCCCAGCACUCCCCAGGCAGGUCCUGGCCCUUCACUGUGGUGUGGCAAAAUUCAGUCUUGCCUACGCAGCUGAAAAACUUUGGCUCUUCAUAAUAACACCAGCUUGCCUGCAGGGAAUAAGGUGGAAGCUGGACCACGUCAAGGCCUUUUAUAUCCUGCAAAGGUAAAUGCUUGGGAUGGAAACUGAGAUGUACUCAGCUGGUGAAAGCUUCUACCAAGCUCUUGGCAUUGACACUCUCCUCCCAUCAGAAAGACAAUACAAAUACAAACAGUUCUGGAUGAGCUGAAACUGAAGUGUGGAGCUUUUCUGGAGCAUAUUAAAAGAAAAGCCUGCUCAGACAUACCGUGGGAACUAAAGAGGCGUACGUGUCCAGCAACAGUUUGCUUCAUAGUGGAGACUGUGCAUGCAGG